rnacentral:rRNA from 1 species
AACGAACGCUGGCGGCAUGCCUAACACAUGCAAGUCGAACGAGACCUUCGGGUCUAGUGGCGCACGGGUGCGUAACGCGUGGGAACCUGCCCUUAGGUUCGGAAUAACUCCCCGAAAGGGGUGCUAAUACCGGAUAAUGUCUUCGGACCAAAGAUUUAUCGCCUUUGGAUGGGCCCGCGUUGGAUUAGCUAGUUGGUAGGGUAAAAGCCUACCAAGGCGACGAUCCAUAGCUGGUCUGAGAGGAUGAUCAGCCACACUGGGACUGAGACACGGCCCAGACUCCUACGGGAGGCAGCAGUGGGGAAUAUUGGACAAUGGGCGAAAGCCUGAUCCAGCAAUGCCGCGGGAGUGAUGAAGGCCUUAGGGUUGUAAAGCUCUUUUACCCGGGAUGAUAAUGACAGUACCGGGAGAAUAAGCACCGGCUAACUACGUG